rnacentral:rRNA from 1 species
GACGAACGCUGGCGGCGUGCUUAACACAUGCAAGUCGAACGCAGUGGCGAACGGGUGAGUAGCGCGUAAUCAACCUGCCCAUCAGAGGGGGACAACAGUUGGACACGACUGCUAAUACCGCAUACGGAAGGAGGGGAUGGCGUCUGAUUAGCUAGUUGGGGGGGGAACGGCCCACCAAGGCGAUGAUCAGUAGCCGGUCCUGGAGGAUGAACGGGCACAUUGGGACUGGGACACGGCCCCGACCCCUACGGGAGGCAGCAGGGGGGAAUCUUCCGGAAUGGACGAAAGUCUGACGGAGCAACGCCGCGUGAGUGAUGACGGCCUUCGGGUUGUAAAGCUCUGUUAAUCGGGACGCGGUACCGGAAUAGAAAGCCACGGCUAACUACGUGCCAGCAGCCGCGGUAAUAC